rnacentral:lncRNA from 1 species
AACUCCCCCUACUCUCCCAUCCCCAAGCCACCCUUCUCCACCAUUCAAACCCCUACCAGACCACCGUGCUUAUCAUGUUUAUCAUGAACGUGAUGAACAUCAACUUAACUCAGAAAACCACUGUCCCCCACCCUGUACCACCUUGCGUCCCAGGCCUCUAGUUAAAGUUCAACCGGAACAUGCAACCGAUGCUCAUCUAGGUGAUGAACAUCAACCCAGGAACUCAUCCCUUCCCCGGAAACCCUUAGAACUUAAGAACCAUAGCCUUAACCCCAUGAACCAUUACCAUUUUUACCAAGAAUCCAAAGAACGCUAACUUAAGGAGGAUGAACCCUAACCCUAAACCUCGGCCCCUAACCCAGAUAUUCAUCUUCAACCUCCGAACCCUAAUCCAGUAAACCCAGAAACAACCUUAAACUCUUCUAAAUCCUUUCAAACAUAUCUUAAACCAUAGCCCCAUUCAUUCUGAACCCUAAUUCAACCAUUAAAUAUACAAUCAACCAAACAUAUUUAAAAUCGAAAAUUUCUAAGCCUAAUCUGUGAACCCUCAAACCCCAUUUGAGUCAUAAAUAGACAACAUCAACAGUAGACAAUAUACAAGCAAAUAAAUUUAAACAGCAACAUAAAUACAAAAGGAGGCAAAAGAGGAUUAGCGGCCAACCUACAGAGAGGCGAAUUUCUCAAGUCAGCAAGGUAACAAUCUUUAAACUCUUCCUCUUUUCCUUUUAAUUUGUCUGCCCUGACUCCUUCUCCUACUCCCUCUAACUCCUUUGAUUUCUGUAUGAGGUACUUGGUAAUUGAAGUUAAGCUCAGAUGCUUAGGGUUUUAGGGUAAAACCCUAAGUAUCAAGAAUUUUGGAGCUUUGGUUAGGGUUUGGGUACAGUAGCAGUAUUUUCGGUUUUGGGUUUUUUCGUGUCCCUAUUCAUUUCAAUUCAUCUUGUAUUUAUAGAUUAAUAUUAGGUCUUAGGCUUUAAUUUUAUUGAUUUUGUUUAGGAAAUUUUUAGAAUUUGAUUUUAAUCAGGUUAAAUAUUUUGAUUGUAAUUUUUUCAGAUUUGGAUUUGUUUUGAAAAUAGAUUUAGUGUUUAUGAAUCACAAUGUAUCUGGUUUGAGAUUAAUUGUAAUUUGUAAUUCUGAAUGUAUUGGAAUAAAAAUGGAAAUGUUUGAUUGAAUUGAGACUUGCAGGUUUUUGAUUUGCUCUGAAAUUAAUUUUGGCGCAAAUUUAAGGUUUCUGAAUUGGGGAAGACGAUGAUGGACUUAGGUUGUGGGUUAUGGAUCCGGGUCUUUCCUGACCUAGUUGAAAUUGACUUGGGCUGGGCUUGGUCAAUACUUUGAUCGGCCUUAAUAAUAUCACUACUUUUAAACAAUAAUAAACUAAAUUAAUCUAACUAUCCCACUAAUCUAAUUUAAAUAACUUAACUCAAAAACUAAUUAAUUUAAUUGCUAACAUAAAUUAAUCAACAUUUUAUUAAUUUAACUAUAAGUUAAUAAAAAACUAAUUAAUUUUAAUAUAAAUUAAUUAAUAUAAAAG